GAGACAGCAGUCGCCACGGUAAUACAGAGGGUGCGAGCGUUAAUCGGAUUUACUGGGCGUAAAGCGUGCGUAGGCGGCUUUUUAAGUCGGAUGUGAAAUCCCUGAGCUUAACUUAGGAAUUGCAUUCGAUACUGGGAAGCUAGAGUAUGGGAGAGGAUGGUAGAAUUCCAGGUGUAGCGGUGAAAUGCGUAGAGAUCUGGAGGAAUACCGAUGGCGAAGGCAGCCAUCUGGCCUAAUACUGACGCUGAGGUACGAAAGCAUGGGGAGCAAACAGGAUUAGAUACCCGGGUAGUCCCUGUCUCUUAUAC
rnacentral:rRNA from 1 species